CCUACGGGUGGCAGCAGUCGAGAAUCAUUCACAAUGGGGGAAACCCUGAUGGUGCGACGCCGCGUGGGGGAAUGAAGGUCUUCGGAUUGUAAACCCCUGUCAUGUGGGAGCAAAUUAAAAAGAUAGUACCACAAGAGGAAGAGACGGCUAACUCUGUGCCAACAGCCGCGGUAAUACAGAGGUCUCAAGCGUUGUUCGGAAUCACUGGGCGUAAGGCGUGCGUAGGCUGUUUCGUAAGUCGUGUGUGAAAGGCGCGGGCUCAACCCGCGGACGGCACAUGAUACUGCGAGACUAGAGUAAUGGAGGGGGAACCGGAAUUCUCGGUGUAGCAGUGAAAUGCGUAGAUAUCGAGAGGAACACUCGUGGCGAAGGCGGGUUCCUGGACAUUAACUGACGCUGAGGCACGAAGGCCAGGGGAGCGAAAGGGAUUAGAUACCCCAGUAGUC
rnacentral:rRNA from 1 species